ensembl:lncRNA
CAGCGGUGGAGGCAGAACUAAGGUUCACUUCAUGGAGGCAGGGUAUCUACAUACAUUAUUUAGAAAUAUUUGAUCAAGACAGCUUGUCUCCCGUCACCCAUUUCUUUAUUAACUCAAACACUUUUAGCAGUAAGGAUUCACGUCUGCUUUUACUAUGACGGUUGUGUUAUGUUACUGAAGGGAUGCAUCCCCAAAAGUUCACCAUUCCGAUUUCUGUGGUACAGUAAAAGUAUUCUGACUUAAGAGUCAGGAACCUGCAAGAGUUCCCUACUGCCACCAUUAUAUUUCACCACCAUUACGUUGCCUAGCUGUGGUAUAUUAGACAAUGCAUUUAGACAACCCAUUUACCCAUGACAGAAUUUGAGACAUUAUAAUUUCAGAUGAUUUAUUCCAUAAACGGAAAUCCCUUGAGAAAGAAAGAAAAAGAAAUAAGACAGAGUUUAUUGAAGUGACCAGAAAAAAUGAUUGUUAUCUGCAAAAUCCUUUUCAAUGAAGCAAAAGUACAGGACCUGAGGAAAAAACGCGUGCUUAAUUUGAAAGCUCAUUGCCUAAAGCACAGCCUUCACAUCAUCAGACUCUGACUCUGUGGAGGCAUUUACAACUCGGGCUUUUACGUACCUGAUCGCACAGCAAUAUAAUCCUUGUCUCUACCCAAGCAACUGAAUUCUGUCCUGGGGGAAGGAAAUCCUUUCCUCCUGGAGAAAGACCUGUCUGUCUCCAUUUGAACACUCAUUUCAACACUCAAGAUCUAGAGAUGUGACAAAGAGGUGGUUGUUGAGCAGGCAAGUGUAAUGUUUAUGUCCCAGGGCAGAGCUCUUCAUGCAGAUGACGGACCCCGUGGUGUUGCGUGGCUGAGAGGAUGCAGCUUCUUAGGACUCUGCACCAGACGGCUGCAAAAUGGGAGCCCUUAACUUCAGUGUGCAGAAGCAGAUUUAGGCAGACUGCCACACCUUACCUCCUGGAGAGAUUGGAUUUUAUAGUUUCAUUGAGGUAUAACUGAUAGACAAAAAAUUACACAAUUUAACGUAUAAAUCUUCAUAGGUUUGGACCUACACAUGCACCUGUAACACAAUGACCAUAACCAAGGUCCUAAACAUAUCCAUCCUCUCCAAAACCUUCCUUGUGUUCUUUCCACACACCCUUGUUUUUACAGAAUAGGAAACUGAGGUUGAAUCAUGUACACUGACUUGUAUAAACACAGGCAGGACUAGCAUUUUGGAAUCAGAAGUGAAGACGCAGAUUGUAGGAGUGACACGGCUCAGAAGGAGAGCAAGGUCUACUUGAUUGGAGGUGGCUCGCAGCUGAGCAUCAUGCAGUUGGCAUUUGGACACAGAAGGCAGCAGUCUCUGCUUUUCGUCUUGGUAGCACGAUGACCCCCAGCCAGGUUACUUAACCUCCGUACAUCAUGGUUUCUCCAGCUACAAAAAGAUGUAGAAAUCAUGUUCUCUACCUCCCUGGAAUGUUGUAGGAAAUAGAUGAGAUAAAAAAGUCGCAUGCAUCCAGGAAAGCUGAGUCCUCACGGUUCCCUGAGGUCAGGGGUCCUGCUUUUCGUGCGACUUUUUGACGUUCCAACCACCCUAGGACCAUGCACAAAUGGUCAUUCAAAUACAAAAUGGUACAAGAACUUCUCGAGUUCACCCAAGACAGAGCAUCAUAAGAGAGGCAGCGAAGACUGGAAAGUAAUUACUUGGAAAUCACUGCUCCUUCCUUCCCAACUGAGGUCUCACAAGUGCUUCCCUAAAUGGGAUCUCACGUACCUCUCUGUCUAUCAGAGAGGUUUGAUCCCCAAACAACAAGCACAGGGGAAAGGACUUACCCAGAGUCCCAGUGUUCUGUGACAGCAUUCUUCUGCAAAGCCUCUUCUUUCUGAGCUAUGGUGCACAGUAUUAUUCUCGAGAAACUACCAUAGAAGAUAAAAAGUGGGAUAGGGAAAGGAUAUGAAAUAAAGUGAAAGGGGGUGACGGUUUAGAUGGUUUUGUUUUUGAAACCCUAGGGAACUGGUCCAGUGCUUGUUUCCUGUUUUCCUAAAUUAUCUGACCAAUCAGUCCAACAAAGAGAAAUGACACAGUAGUCAAUACAUAAUGGAAACUUAUACGUUUCCCUUCCACUUAACAUUUUCCUAUCAUUACACAGUCAUGCUAUUUGGAUUAUGUCAAGGGAAGCUUCUUUAAAGGAAGGAUAAGUAUGGGAUAAGAAAGGAACUCACACAAUUGCGUACCACAUGUACUAUGUGCUGUGUAUGACACUUGAAAUAUUUUGCUCUUUUGCUUCUCAGAACAAUCGUCUCGUAUAGCUAUAAAGGUUCCCAUUUUAUAAAUCAGACAAAGCAAACUCAGAAAUAUGUAAUUUCUAAACAAGUUUCCACAAGUGUAGAGAUCACAGCAAUCAUAAUCCCAAGCCAUAGCUCUCCUCAUAUAACAAACUGGGUCCUUUUUACUUGGUGGUCAUUCAGGGCUUAGGCAUAAGUGUUUUUGAACCGUGUAUGUUCUCCUUGACGAUUCACGCAUGUAUGGAUGGGUACUGUAGGCGAGGAAGAACUAUUCCCCUACCCUCUGGGUUCUUCCGGCUGGUCUAUGAAUUCAAUUGACAGGAGACAGAAUAACAGGAGAAAAUCAAAUGAAGUUUAACAAAAUGUAUACAUGGGAGAAACCCAGGAAAACUGAGUCACUCGCCAGAAUGGCAGAAGCCACCACCUUAAAUACCAUCUUCAACUAAGGACAGAGGAGGAUGUCUGGGGUUGUGGUUUGGGACUUCAAAGGGGAGGAAGGUAAUUUACAUGGAGAUGGAAAAGCAAAUGCUUGGUACAUAAAUGGUGACCAUGCCUUGUAAAGACAAUGAGAGACAGAGAGAGGACGUGGAUCAAGUGGGCCCUGCCAGGUUCCUCCAUGUUGACCUCACCUAGUUCAUAUUAUACAAUAGUGAUCUUAUGGUAUUAGCUCCUUCCUGGAAUAGCCAUUCUAUCUUAAAUUCUCUUAGACAGUUAGGGGGGAAGGGCAAAGUUUUUUUCCGAGUCUUUUGUUCUGAAAAAUCAUCAAGCCAAAGAGACACAUUUUGGGGGGGCAGAGCUCCUACAACAAAACACCAAAAUGUCUAAACGGACCACGGAUGAAGAAAUUAAAAAGGCCACUAAUCAAAAGAAAAUGUGUUCUAACUCACUAAUAAUUUAAGGAGUGCAAAUGAAAGCAUCUAGAUAUCCUUUUACCACCUAUCAUCUGUCAAACAUUAAAUAGAGGAAAAACAAGAAGGAACAAAAAUUUUACAAAUACAAAUUUGAAAACGGGCUCUGUGUGUGUUUGUGUGUAUGUCAGAGACAGAGAGAGAAACAGAGAGAGAGACUCAACGUUAGUAAAAGUCAAGGAAAUGGAAACAGAAAUAAAUUUAAAUGUUAUGAACAAUAGGUAUGGAAGUAGUUAAAGAAUGAGACGGCUCGGACACUUUUUGAGGAAGUUUGAACUAUUGAAAUCAAGUCCCAGGGAAGAUGUUUAAACACAUAAUUGAGGGAAAUCUUUUCACAUGUGCAAAAGUAAGCUGGUAAGGGGCUGUUUGCUGCAGCAGAGCAUGAAAGGGAAGAGGAAAAAUAUAGGAAGCAACCUACAUGUCCAUCAGGACAGGAUAACUACACGAGGAAAGGGUCACAAAACCAUCUCCACUCCUCUAUGGGCUUCAAGGCAAAAUGGAGAAAACUUUAAUUCCAGAGUGAGCUGCUAAUCAGGAGAUAGAGAGUGGUCUCCCUGAUUAAUUCAACCCCCCAAACUCCCCUCAUCUGAGUAUUGGUCAUAGCGGAUGGUAAGUUGAAUAGUUGUUAAGAUGAAAGGAGAUGGAACAUCAAGUACAAUUUCUCAAAGCUGUUCUGUACACAUUACUUUCCAUCCCUCUAGAUCGCCUGUCCCAAGGGCAACACCUGAGCUUCUGCUGAGCCCCACUGAUUCCGGGAUCAGCCAAGGGAUGUGGCCCGACACCCAGGUCUCUUGGCACCAAGAGUGGGAUUUCAUGUCCUCUGUCAUCUUCACCACUCAGAGGGGUUGCUGAGUGACUACUCCUGGGGCCACAUUAUCAGGGGAGUGUGAUGGACCAUUUCUCCAGCCCUGGAAGCCCAUUUCUGAAAGGGGGGGCUGCUCUGUGUCCUCUGUGGAGGGCGAGGGAUGGAGCCUCAUUCCUGUCCUGACACGUAUCUGGAGAGGGGACUUCAGCUCGGUCAGCCUGAGCUUGGCUAUCUGUGAAGUGGGACUCAGGACACCUUUGCCACAGAGCCGUCCUCAGGUGUAAAUGAGAAACCCUGCCCAGAGUACACAGCAUGUGGUGGGACUUCAGUGGCCCUUUCAUUGUUGGGACACUGCAGCAGGGGCAGGCUGAGCCUCGGGCCUGAGGCAGGCACUGUGAGGAGUCACUUCUCAUUGUUUCCUGUAUGAGAAUAUACAUAUCUUUAUGAAAGACGCAAGUAUCUCUCUGAUAUGCCGUGACUUCAAAGUUUUGGAGAAACAAGAUUCUCUACUUUCUUGGAUGUUUCAGAAGCUCCUAAGAGCUGCCCCACAUCGUGCCUCUGCGCAGACCCUAAUCCAGUUCCUCACCUGCUGAGCUCAGUGAGACGUGAUACCAGGGCAGCAAGGUGUGGCAUUUGCCUUACUGCUGCUCUGGACUGACCUGUGUCUUAAUACAUUGAUAGGAAAAUUCUGGACCCGCCCCAGUCACCAGUGCAGGGGCCCUCAGAUCGUGCAUGAUCCAGCCACGUCAUGCCAGGAUUUCAGCCAUCUGCUGCCUCCCUGACAGGAAAAAAUCCAAAAAUUACUAGGAUUCUGUGACACAUCCCUCCUUGGUCCCCUCAUACUCAUGCCACCACAAGCCUCUCUCUCUUUAUCUCUCUCUUCUCCUUCAAAAUCAAAGUUCCAGAAAGUGGUUUUUGCAUUCCCUGCUAACAUUCUUCACUUCCCACUGACCCCUUAUCUCACCGCACUAUCAAGUCUGUCCCCAAGUCGGCAAUGAAUGGGCUCCCACCAAGGUCACAGUUACCUUUUUGUCACUAGCUCCAGAUAUUUGGUAUAAAUAUAUUAACAUACUGAGUGCUACGUUAAAAG